UCGAGGAUCUUCGGCAAUGGGGGCAACCCUGACCGAGCGACGCCGCGUGGACGACGAAGGCCUUCGGGUUGUAAAGCCCUUUUGCCGGGGACGAUGAUGACGGUACCCGGAGAAGAAGCACCGGCUAACUCCGUGCCAGCAGCCGCGGUAAGACGGAGGGUGCUAGCGUUGUUCGGAAUUACUGGGCGUAAAGGGCGCGUAGGCGGCCUGUUAAGUCGGUUGUGAAAGCCCGGGGCUCACCCCCGGAAC
rnacentral:rRNA from 1 species